rnacentral:rRNA from 1 species
CCUACGGGUGGCAGCAGUGGGGAAUAUUGGACAAUGGGCGAAACCUGAUCCAGCCAUGCCGCGUGUGUGAAGAGGUCUUCGGAUUGUAAGCACUUUAAGUUGGGAGGCGUUACCGACAGAAUAAGCACCGGCUAACUCUGUGCCAGCAGCCGCGGUAAUACAGAGGGUGCAAGCGUUAAUCGGAAUUACUGGGCGUAAAGCGCGCGUAGGUGGUUUGUUAAGUUGGAUGUGAAAGCCCCGGGCUCAACCUGGGAACUGCAUCCAAAACUGGCAGGCUAGAGUACAGUAGAGGGUGGUGGAAUUUCCUGUGUAGCGGUGAAAUGCGUAGAUAUAGGAAGGAACACCAGUGGCGAAGGCGACCACCUGGACUGAACUGACACUGAGGUGCGAAAGCGUGGGGAGCAAACAGGAUUAGAUACCCUUGUAGUC